CAGAACGAGUGAAAGUAAACAGACAACUAAGAAGAAGGACAUUGUGACCUCGUGGACAAUCAGAGCCUUACAUCUAAGGCCCAUACGAAAGAGAAAGCCCAAUCGACCCCUUUCCACAAAGGCCUGGGUCCAACAGAGAUACACAUGGACUGGAGACGCUUUCGUCAGACGGCAGCCUCGGUCGUUUGAUGGGGAGACCAGAAUUGGAAACAUGUAUGGAGCCAGCACAUGGAGACUUGGAAGAUGA